rnacentral:rRNA from 1 species
GUAGGGAAUCUUGCGCAAUGGGCGAAAGCCUGACGCAGCCAUGCCGCGUGAAUGAUGAAGGUCUUAGGAUUGUAAAAUUCUUUCACCGGGGACGAUAAUGACGGUACCCGGAGAAGAAGCCCCGGCUAACUUCGUGCCAGCAGCCGCGGUAAUACGAAGGGGGCUAGCGUUGCUCGGAAUUACUGGGCGUAAAGGGCGCGUAGGCGGACAGUUUAGUCAGAGGUGAAAGCCCAGGGCUCAACCUUGGAAGUGCCUUUGAGACUGGCUGUCUUGAGUACGGGAGAGGUGAGUGGAACUCCGAGUGUAGAGGUGAAAUUCGUAGAUAUUCGGAAGAACACCAGUGGCGAAGGCGACUCACUGGCCCGUUACUGACGCUGAGGCGCGAAAGCGUGGGGAGCAAACAGGAUUAGAUACCCUAGUAGUCC